rnacentral:rRNA from 1 species
CAAUAGCGUAUAUUAAAGUUGUUGCGGUAAAAAAGCUCGUAGUUGGAUUUCUGUUGAGAGCGACCGGUCCAUACCAUGUAUGCGUAUCUGGCUUGCUCUCGGCAUCCUCUCGAUAGACGUUACUGCGCUUGAUUGCGUGGUGCGGAUCUCGGGACUUUUACUUUGAGGAAAUUAGAGUGUUCACGGCAGGCUUUCGCCAGAAUACAUUAGCAUGGAAUAAUACUAUAGGAUCUUGGUUCUAUUUUGUUGGUUUCUAGAAUUGAGAUAAUGAUUAAUAGGGACAAUUGGGGGCAUUCGUAUCAACACGUCAGAGGUGGAAUUCUUGGAUUGUGUUGCGGCGAACUACUGCGAAAGCAUUUGCCAAGGAUGUUUUCAUUGA